UACGAAGGGAGCUAGCGUUGUUCGGAAUCACUGGGCGUAAAGCGCACGUAGGCGGAUUUGUCAGUCAGGGGUGAAAUCCCGGGGCUCAACCUCGGAACUGCCUUUGAUACAGCAAGUCUUGAGUUCGAGAGAGGUGGGUGGAAUUCCUAGUGUAGAGGUGAAAUUCGUAGAUAUUAGGAAGAACACCGGUGGCGAAGGCGGCCCACUGGCUCGAUACUGACGCUGAGGCACGAAGGCCAGGGGAGCAAACGGG
rnacentral:rRNA from 1 species